UACGGAGGGGACUAGCGUUGUUCGGAAUUACUGGGCGUAAAGCGUGCGCAGGCGGUUCGGAAAGAAAGAUGUGAAAUCCCAGGGCUUAACCUUGGAACUGCAUUUUUAACUACCGGGCUAGAGUGUGCCAGAGGGGGGUGGAAUUCCACGUGUAGCAGUGAAAUGCGUAGAGAUGUGGAGGAACACCGAUGGCGAAGGCAGCCCCCUGGGUUAACACUGACGCUCAGGCACGAAAGCGUGGGGAGCAAACAGG
rnacentral:rRNA from 1 species